AAUUUGAAAUUUUCUUUCUCUUCCUGUUCUCUCAUUUUUGUAUUUCUCUAUUUGUUCUCUCAUUUUUGUAUUUCUCUAUUUUUCCUCUCUUGUUCAUUUUUUCUUUUUUGCUGUUCCUUAGGAGACCUUAGCUGUUUUCAUCAUGUACGCUUAGUUCAUUUUGCUUGAUGAAUGAAACAGGUAGCUCGCUACCUCUUUCUUUAAAAAAAAAAAAAAAAUUAAUUAAAGCUGAGAAAAAAGAUGAGAUAAAAGAUAUUUUAAAAGACUAUCGGGUUGCAUAUAAUAAUAAUAAUAUCUGCACUAUAAUUUUAAUU
rnacentral:lncRNA from 1 species